rnacentral:rRNA from 1 species
GACGAACGCUGGCGGCGUGCUUAACACAUGCAAGUCGAACGAUGAAGAAAAGAAUCGAAGCUUCGGCAGAAAUUCAUUUCGGAUUAGUGGCAGACGGGUGAGUAACGCGUGAGCAACCUACCUCUUACAAAGGGAUAGCCUCGGGAAACCGGGAUUAAUACCAUAUAACAUUGCGACGAAGCAUUUCGAUGCAAUCAAAGCUACGGCGGUAAGAGAUGCGCUCGCGUCCCAUUAACCGGAUGGUGAGGUAACGGCUCACCAUAGUGACGAUGGGUAACCGGGAUGAGAGGGUGAGCGGUGACACUGGAACUGAGACACGGUCCAGACUCUUACGGGAGGCAGCAGUGGGGAAUAUUGCACAAUGGAGGGAAUUCUGAUGCAGCGACGCCGCGUGAGUGAUGAAGGAAUUCGUUACGUAAAACUCUGUUCUAUGGGAAGAAAAGGACGGUACCAAAGGAGAAAGCUCCGGCUAAAUACGUG